AUUGAACGCUGGCGGCAUGCUUUACACAUGCAAGUCGAGCGGUAACAGGCCUUCGGGUGCUGACGAGUGGCGAACGGGUGAGUAAUGCAUCGGAACGUACCCAGAGGUGGGGGAUAACGCAGCGAAAGCUGUGCUAAUACCGCAUGUGAUCUGAGGAUGAAAGCGGGGGACCGAGCAGCAAUGUUUGGCCUCGCGCCUUUGGAGCGGCCGAUGUCGGAUUAGCUAGUUGGUGGGGUAAAGGCCUACCAAGGCGACGAUCCGUAGCUGGUCUGGGAGGACGACCAGCCACACUGGGACUGAGACACGGCCCAGACUCCUACGGGAGGCAGCAGUGGGGAAUUUUGGACAAUGGGCGCAAGCCUGAUCCAGCAAUGCCGCGUGCGGGAAGAAGGCCUUCGGGUUGUAAACCGCUUUUGGCAGGAACGAAACGGUGUCCGCUAAUACCGGGCGCUAAUGACGGUACCUGCAGAAUAAGCACCGGCUAACUACGUG
rnacentral:rRNA from 1 species